AUUGAACGCUGGCGGCAGGCCUAACACAUGCAAGUCGAGCGGAUGAAGGGAGCUUGCUCCUGGAUUCAGCGGCGGACGGGUGAGUAAUGCCUAGGAAUCUGCCUGGUAGUGGGGGAUAACGUCCGGAAACGGGCGCUAAUACCGCAUACGUCCUGAGGGAGAAAGUGGGGGAUCUUCGGACCUCACGCUAUCAGAUGAGCCUAGGUCGGAUUAGCUAGUUGGUGGGGUAAAGGCCUACCAAGGUGACGAUCCGUAACUGGUCUGAGAGGAUGAUCAGUCACACUGGAACUGAGACACGGUCCAGACUCCUACGGGAGGCAGCAGUGGGGAAUAUUGGACAAUGGGCGAAAGCCUGAUCCAGCCAUGCCGCGUGUGUGAAGAAGGUCUUCGGAUUGUAAAGCACUUUAAGUUGGGAGGAAGGGCAGUAAGUUAAUACCUUGCUGUUCUGACGUUACCAACAGAAUAAGCACCGGCUAACUUCGUG
rnacentral:rRNA from 1 species